rnacentral:ncRNA from 1 species
AGCCUCUGGAAAGUGGGCGCGCCGCAUAUGAGCCCCACCGAAGGUGAAAGCCACCUUAUCUAAAUUGAUAGGGGGUGAAUCUCUCAGGUUUUCGACAGAGGGGG